AGGUGUUGCAUGGCUGUCGUCAGCUCGUGUCGUGAGAUGUUGGGUUAAGUCCCGCAACGAGCGCAACCCUCAUCCUUAGUUACCAUCAGGUAAUGCUGGGGACUUUAAGGAAACUGCCAGUGAUAAACUGGAGGAAGGUGGGGAUGAUGUCAAGUCAUCAUGGCCCUUAUGGAGUGGGCUACACACGUGCUACAAUGGUGGCUACAAUGGGCUGCAAAGUCGCGAGGCUAAGCUAAUCCCUUAAAAGCCAUCUCAGUUCGGAUUGUACUCUGCAACUCGAGUGCAUGAAGUUGGAAUCGCUAGUAAUCGUGGAUCAGCACGCCACGGUGAAUACGUUCUCGGGUCUUGUACACACUGCCCGUCACGCCGUGGGAAUUGGUUUCACUCGAAGCU
rnacentral:rRNA from 1 species